rnacentral:rRNA from 1 species
CCCUUAGAUGUUCUGGGCUGCACGCGCGCUACACUGAAGCGUUCAACGAGUAUUCACCUUGCCCGGGAGGGUUGGGUAAUCUUUUGAAAACGCUUCGUGAUGGGGAUAGAUUAUUGCAAUUAUUAAUCUUCAACGAGGAAUUCCUAGUAAGUGCAAGUCAUAAGCUUGCGCUGACUACGUCCCUGCCCUUUGUACACACCGCCCGUCGCUACUACCGAUUGAAUGAUUUAGUGAGGACUUCGGACUGGGACCGAUGCGGCUUUCGGGCUGCGUCGGUAUUCUGGAAAGAUGUCCAAACUGUAUCAUUUAGAGGAAGUAAAAGUCGUAACA